rnacentral:lncRNA from 1 species
CAGGGCCGAGAAGAUCGAGUGCCAAGAAGAUUGGGCACCGAUGCACGCGGGGCCGAGAAGAUCAAGCGUAGGUGCACUCGAGGUAAAUGACGAUUUAGGAGAAGAGAUCAGAGAAGUGAAGGAGAGGGAGGAAAGAGGAGAGUUGAAGGAGAAGAUGAGAGCUCGAGCUCGCGGGGGAUAGAGGAGAGGUAGGGAGAAGGGAGAGAAGGUGUAGGGUGUUCGUGUGAGAUAGACAAGUGGGGUUCGGGUUUGGAUUAGGGUUAGGGUUAGAGUAGUAUUGGGUUCAAAAUAGAUGUAUUUAGUAUAAAAUUAUUAGUCGGUAAAAAAAGUAUAGUCUAAAAUAAUUGCUGCUAAAAUAUAAGUUGGUAGUAGAUAAUAACGGCUAUUUGAUAAUUAUUGCUAUUAAAUUGUCGCUAAAUAUUAAUUUUGUUGUAGU